rnacentral:rRNA from 1 species
UAAUACGGAGGGUGCAAGCGUUGUUCGGAAUCACUGGGCGUAAAGCGUGUGUAGGCGGCUUUGUAAGUCGGAUGUGAAAGCCCUGGGCUUAACCCAGGAACUGCAUUCGAUACUGCAGAGCUUGAGUAUGGGAGAGGGAAGCGGAAUUCCUGGUGUAGCGGUGAAAUGCGUAGAUAUCAGGAGGAACACCCGUGGCGAAAGCGGCUUCCUGGCCCAUAACUGACGCUGAGACACGAAAGCAUGGGGAGCAAACAGGAUUAGAUACCCUGGUAGUCCAUGCCGUAAACGAUGAGUGCUAGGUGUUGGAGGUGUUGACCCCUUCAGUGCCGACGCUAACGCAUUAAGCACUCCGCCUGGGGAGUACGGUCGCAAGAUUA